rnacentral:lncRNA from 1 species
AAAAAGGGCAGGCGACGCGAGAGGGGUCUUUCCGGCGGGCCGCCGUCGGGCUCUGGGAGGUGGGCGAGACUGCGGACGGCCGCGCCGCGGUUGUAGAUAAUGGUGUUUUAGGACAUAAUUCUGGCGUUGGCGGGCAGGCGGGGCGACUUCGACGUAGUGGAAUGAGGUUCCUCCGGCUCCUUCCCCGUCGUGGCGGUGCUCCCUCUGAUGGCGCUGCGGCGCUAGGGAGGUUGGUCUCUCUCUGAUCCAGGCAUCCGGAGAGGUUUGAUCGGUGAAGGGGUGUACAGUACAGGAGUUGGGAUUUGUGGAGAGGGAUUCCCAGAUCCGGUCACCACGGACGACCGGCAGCUGCGGACUGUAUUGGACGAAGUUGUUGGAGCUGCUCCUUCACUCCGGCGUAGGCUGGUGCUGGUGGCAGCUUCAAGGAAGGGGAGCACGGGGUACCCCCGGCUGAUGCACCGAACCCGCCCCUGGUUCCGUCUUUUGCUUCGGGACUUAUAUGCGGCUCACAAAGCCAUGGAUUGGCGAUAGUGCUCCUCAUGACCAUCGUCUCGUGGACGACGACUCUUCCUCUCACCGGCGGGUGCACAGAUCGGCGUGCUUCAGUGAAGAAGGAAGAUGAGCUAGGCUGUAAGUUACUUUGUUUUCUCUGAUGGCGUUGAUUCCCUUCAUCCCUUGCUGUCUCUGGUUCUCAACCUCCAAGCUCCAACGACGUCCCUUUUUUGUGCUGCCAGCAAUGGAGUUUAGCACGGGUUUUUCCUCCAUGAGUAGGCCACCGAGGAUAUCUGCCAGUGGCGACCUGCUCGUCCCGAUGCCUACGGUGCACUGAGGGUAGGUGUCGUCUUUCCCUAUCGUGCUGCAUACGGAAGCCCCAGUCUCGAAAUCUCAGGUCUGUAGGAUGUUGCCGUCGGGGUGAUUUUAGCCUACAUUGUAUUGUAAUCAAUAUGAUAUUUUGUUCAAGCAUUUAUACCAGCAAAUGCACACACUUUUGAUUUAUUUUCCUAAGCUGCUGACUUUUCUUCUGAUAUUACCUGACCAAGUGAAAAUGGAUCUUUCCAUAGCUGUGCAUUUAGUAAAAAUCCCUUUAUUAUGGCAGCAUGUAAAAAUUUAAAGGUUUCCUGAGUGCGGACUGUGGUAUAAAUUCGUGCAAGUUCUGAAACCUGCAAGUACUAACAGGAACAGUAAUUCUGUAGGAUGAAAAAAGAAGAAAAAGAUGAUUCAGUUAUCAAGAGGAUGUCUGAACUCUGAACUUGAAGGACAGGAAAUAAAACAUGAGGAUAAUGGAAGAGAAGAAGAAGCAGACAUUAGGAUAAUGAAAGAAAGGAGUAGAUAAUGAGGAUGGUACUGAAAGAGAAGACGAGACGUACCUUGGCUAAGUGAAGAUCUAGACCUGAAAUUGCUAAUAAGGGGAAUGAGGUCCCUUUCUCUAUCGGUGCCAUCUUAGCUGCCGUCGAUUAGGUGCAUAUUUAGCGAGGUAAUCUCGUUCUAACAUGUCUCUGAUUUUGAUUUUUCCUGCGGAUUUCAGAAUAUAGAAGGCAGCUUCGCAGAGGGGUCACUGACGAGCAAGAUGAGGCCACUGCGUCUAUUCUUGUGUUCGUUUGUUUCAAAGAGAUCACACUAAUUUCUCUCAGUAUAUGUCUCUGCAGAGAAAUAAGUCCUGGAGCCGCUUCAGUUAAGACUAUUGAUCUAGAAUUGGCCGUAUGUUCAUGAACAAUUUUCUGUUGCUAAAAUAAAUCCUGGAGCAGGCUUCAGUGAGGACUACAGAUCAAGAAGUCUGUAUGUUCAUGAAUAAUUUUCUGUUGCUCAGGCCAGAGUUGUUUCGCAAGUUCAGAAUCCACCACAAGGUUUCAACACUCAACUAUGUAUCCUUAGCUCCUUCAGAUUCAGCAGCAUGAACGUUUUGAUUCAGAAGGAACGUAGUCUUCCCAAUAGCUCAUACUGAUUCUGGUCUUCAUGAGUGGGCGACGGCGGACCAGCAAGUGGGCGGGUGGGGCCAGCGACGACGGCGCACGGCCUGAGUGGUGAGCGACGGCGACCAGGCUAGCAGCGCGAGCAGGGUAGCGCUCUGUUCCUGUUAGGUCCAACCCGAUACAUAAUCAGCUAGCUUCAGGGGCGCUACAGUCCUGUUCGUUGCUUCUAAAAGGAAAAUGAAAAUAAAAAUUAGUAAAAGAGGGAUAAUGGCAUGGUAAUCAAAGUGUCCACGAUCUGGGUGGCAAUUUUGGGGAGCUCGUCUUGAUGGUGGCAUUUUUGCGAAGCCAGAUGUUCAAAGUGGCAAAUAACCGAUUUUCUCCUUUUGGUGAUGGUCGGCAUGCUGCAUCAUAUAAUGAUAGUAUGACAUAUGCACGACAUUGGUAGGUGGCAGGUUUAAUCCAUUGGACUAGGGCCCAAAUAUGAAGUUAGUAGCCAUCGCAAGUUGCCACAUGCGUGUGGGUUGGUUUUUCUUGAUACAGGAUAGAGUGAGCAAUGCGAAAGGUGAGUAGGGAAAACAACAAAUCUUCUCGCUAGGCGAAGUCGGAGAAGAAAAUGUUUGGCUUCGACCAAAGGAUUUAUUGAUUGGAAACCAUAUGAUUGAUCAUGCUUGAUAUGUACUUCCGCUCCUAAAUAUAAGUUCUUUAAGAGAUUCCAAUAUAGACAACAUACAGAGCAAAAUGAGUGAAUCUACAUUUUAAAAUAUGUCUAUGCACAUCCGUAUAUAGUCCAUAUUGAAAUUUCUAAAAAGAGUUGUAUUUAGGAACAGAGGGAGUACAUGUCAACAAUAUAACAUCGCUUCAGUCAAUGUCUCAAUACGUUGUUAUUGUCUAACAUCGCUUUGUCAAUGUCUCAAUACAUUUGUUAUUGUCUAUAACAACAUAUUGCUUCCUGACUAUAACUUAAAU